GGUGUGGAAGAGAUGUCAAAAAAUGAACUCCGUACAUGAAGAGAGAAGCAAACAUGUCCUCGGUGUCUCUCAUUCUCUUCUAGUGUGGCUGGCUGCUGAACUGGCUUUGGUUCUGAUUGUGACCCUCUUUGGCUCAUGGCAUGCUGGCCUGGCAAUACUAUGUAAAUUGGCUGCCUCUAGAGAUUUCUCCCAGCUGGUACUGCAGCACUCAUCCCAUGACCCAGCAUAUGCUUCUCCCUUGGACACCCAUUGCUUCUUUCCUGAAGCACAGUCUGAGCAAUCUCUGGAUCUGUGGAUUUCAGUUUGGAUAAAGAAGAUUGUUUCAGGCUGACUCCAGCUGAACCUGGGAGUGCUGAGACUGUGGCUACAAACAAUUGCAAAUGGAUUUUCCCUGCCUGGGUCGCUGUGGUUAUGGAGCAGCAGCCAGCCUAGAG
rnacentral:lncRNA from 1 species